UUCUCCUGGAAACGGGUGGUAAUGCCGGAUGUUCCACAUGAUCGCAUGUGAUUGUGGGAAAGAUUCUAUCGGCGUGGGAUGGGGUCGCGUCCUAUCAGCUUGUUGGUGAGGUAACGGCUCACCAAGGCUUCGACGGGUAGCCGGCCUGAGAGGGCGACCGGCCACAUUGGGACUGAGAUACGGCCCAGACUCCUACGGGAGGCAGCAGUGGGGAAUAUUGCACAAUGGGCGCAAGCCUGAUGCAGCGACGCCGCGUGAGGGAUGGAGGCCUUCGGGUUGUAAACCUCUUUUGUUUGGGAGCAAGCCUUCGGGUGAGUGUACCUUUCGAAUAAGCGCCGGCUAACUACGUGCCAGCAGCCGCGGUAAUACGUAGGGCGCAAGCGUUAUCCGGAUUUAUUGGGCGUAAAGGGCUCGUAGGCGGCUCGUCGCGUCCGGUGUGAAAGUCCAUCGCUUAACGGUGGAUCUGCGCCGGGUACGGGCGGGCUGGAGUGCGGUAGGGGAGACUGGAAUUCCCGGUGUAACGGUGGAAUGUGUAGAUAUCGGGAAGAACACCA
rnacentral:rRNA from 1 species